CUGGGAUUACUAUCACUUAUUACAGCGCCAGGUUUAUGUGGUUCUGGGGCUCAAACUCAGAGAUUCCUGAAGGCUGGAUAACUACUCUACCAAAUGAAGUACUACACCCUAAGACAAAGGAAUAGUGUUGCACAACUCUAGUCCUGACUACUCAAGACUUAAUAUAGGAAGACUGAAAUUUUGAGGUCAUCUUGGCAACACUGAGACCUCUUCUCCACAUCUCAACAACAAAAAAGGUGGAGGCCAUCUUGACAAAUACACCAAAUAUACCUUCGGAAGAGGUUUUAUCUACAAGAUCUCCCUAAUACAUUUAUUGUAUUUACUGUUUCUGGAGUCUUAUUCAACCCUUAUCAUCUCACAACUUGUAUAGAAGACUUCAGUGGAAUAGAAAAGAUCUGCUUUUGGCAAGUAAUUGACUGGAAUGUUCAGUACUUCUACUUUCAGUAUAUCUUGUACUCUCAUAGUGUAUGUUACCUCUUCUCUUAUUCAUAUUUUACUUUUUAAAUGGAAAGGACUUUUAUGAGUAAGUAGUAUAAUUAAUGUACACAUAUUUUUAUGAUACUUCAGAUGAUAACAAGGUUUUCUGACUAAUUGAGUUUCCCUGUAUACCAGUUUUGUUAUCAUUUGUGAGGUGUUUUCCUCCUUCUUUAAACAAGAACCUCAAAUUUUAGGCAGUCCCCAAAGAAGAUCAUCUUCCACACUGGUGUUCUCUAGGGAAGACCCUCCUCUGGUUUCUGUUUUACUGGCAUUACUGGCCUCUGUCUGGGGCAGGAAAAUGGGUCUCUGUGGUUUGUCUUUUCUCCAAUACCACAACUGCAGACUUCAAUACAAUUGCAAGUAUGAGUAUGUAGAGAAAUGUUCUUGCAUUGUUGAGUAGAGCCAUGGAGAUGCUCUCAUCACUAUUGGUAUCACCUAUGUCCCUUCAGGUGAGGGUAAAACCUCACUGUUUCAAAGAGAUUUGAGUUUAUUACACAGUGUAUUGAUUUUUACUUGUUCCUGCUUAAAUUAAGUGAAGUCAUAAAGUACUAUUUAUUUUAAAUAUUAAUUGUCUAUUUCUAGGCCAUAAGCCAUACUGUUCAUCAGGAAAUUACUAUCUGCAUUUCUCAACCUGCUUUAAUAAUUGUUAUGAGUAAAAACAACUGCUAAGAAUUUUUAAAGUAUGUGCAUGUGUAUGCCCUUACAUAAGUAUGUUCAUGUUAGGUGUAUGUAGAGGUCAGAAAUCAAAGUCAGAUCCCCUGGAGCUGGAGUUAUGGAUGAGCCAUGAUAACUCAAGCACCAGAUAUUUUAAGCUUGCUUAAUAAUUCCUUUCUUUGAAAGUUUUUCUGGUUUACCAGUGGAAAAAGGUGAUUUCUAUCCAAGGCUGGCAACCUCAGUUUUGUAUUUGCAACUCAAGUGGGACAAAAUAUAGCAGAAAACAGAAGACUUAAUGAAUUUUUUUAAACUCAUAAAUUUGUAGUACAACACAUGUCUCAUUAUAUUAUUAUGACAUAUCAGCUGGAUUCUGAGGUAUGUCCUAUGUUCUUUUUCUAAUACACAUUUAAUUUAUAUGCAGUGGAGUUCCUUCUUUAAUAGCAAAGUUAAUGUAUUUCAGUUAAUCUCCUAUGUUAACAUUUUCCAAGUUCAUAUUGAUCUUGAUUUUAAUCAUACAGAGUGACAGUGCUUGAAACAGAAGAUAAUACAACUUGUCAGUUUGUGUUAGGGGUCAUAAAACUUUUUCUGUAAGACUCCAGAUUUAUAAAUCGUAUUGUUGCAACCAGGAAUCUGUUCUUGUAGUACAACAGUACCAAGGGCUAAUUAUUAAAGUGUACCCCAGUAAAUAGUUACAGUGCAUAAAACCUGUGGCAGAUUUGGACUCUAGAAGAUGAUUUUUGAACUCUUAGUAUACUGUAUGGUUCUAGUUUCAUCCAUAGGAUCUUUGAUAAAUUUUGAAACAGAAGAGACACAAAGAAUGUCUUUGCUUGUACUAGUUUCUGAAUCUUUUACAUCAGUGGUUCUUAACCUGUGGAUUGUGACCCCUUUGAGGUCCAACUACCCUUUUAUGGAGGUCACCUAAGACUAUUGUAAAACAGAUAUUUAUAUUACAAUUCAUAA